AACCCUAGUAUUCUUUCUCCUCUCCCUUGGAACCAGUGGUGAUCAUCAUCAUUCGAAGCUCUACCUCCUUCCAACUCAUUCACUCUACACCUCUAGGGCUUGGUUGACUAACUUGGAAAACGUGCGUUAAUUAAUCUUACCGAGCAAACCAAGGUGAGUUCACUGCACUUUUCUAAGCAUGCGUCCCGGUGGUUUGGGACAUCUGGUAAACGUUUCGGAAUGGAAUACUGGGUAAACUGUUUAUUUGGGAUGUUGGUUAUUGAACACAGUAUAAAUCAUGUAAGACCCCAUACAUCUACCGUGUUGCUGAAGAAGCAACGAGGUAUUUAGUUGAUAGCGCUAUUAGGUUUGGCACCCUCACACCGGGCCGAAAGGACGGGCGUGAACUAAUUACCUGGACUUCAUGACCAAUGCCUAGUUAGAGGCAUUGGGGUUGGGCAUUUUCAUCGUGUACAUAUAAGACCCCUUACAUCUAUUCAAGGUUGUUUGAUACCUUGACCUCAUGACCAAUGCCUAAAUGGAGGCAUUGGGGUUGGGCAUUCACAUCUAGUCGCCACAUACGGUCUAUAGGUUGAUAUCAGUUGGAACUUGCUGUCUGGGAGGCUAGAGUAGUCAUGGGUCGUGCCACAUGGAUUCGCAAUACAAGUUUAUUGGUUUACGAACGCAUGGUUUAUGAAAUACCUUACAAUAAGUUAUGCUUCCGCUGUAUACAAUAAGUUAUAUGUAAUCUUUUGUAACACUUUAUGUUAAUGAAAGGAAGUUUUAUUC
rnacentral:lncRNA from 1 species